rnacentral:rRNA from 1 species
AGGGCGGGGGUUGCUAUAAUGCAGUCGAACGCGUUGGCCCAAUUGAUUGAUGGUGCUUGCACCUGAUUGAUUUUGGUCGCCAACGAGUGGCGGACGGGUGAGUAACACGUAGGUAACCUGCCCAGAAGCGGGGGACAACAUUUGGAAACAGAUGCUAAUACCGCAUAACAACGUUGUUCGCAUGAACAACGCUUAAAAGAUGGCUUCUCGCUAUCACUUCUGGAUGGACCUGCGGUGCAUUAGCUUGUUGGUGGGGUAACGGCCUACCAAGGCGAUGAUGCAUAGCCGAGUUGAGAGACUGAUCGGCCACAAUGGGACUGAGACACGGCCCAUACUCCUACGGGAGGCAGCAGUAGGGAAUCUUCCACAAUGGGCGCAAGCCUGAUGGAGCAACACCGCGUGAGUGAAGAAGGGUUUCGGCUCGUAAAGCUCUGUUGUUAAAGAAGAACACGUAUGAGAGUAACUGUUCAUACGUUGACGGUAUUUAACCAGAAAGUCACGGCUAACUACGUGCCAGCAGCCGCGGUAAUACGUAGGUGGCAAGCGUUAUCCGGAUUUAUUGGGCGUAAAGAGAGUGCAGGCGGUUUUCUAAGUCUGAUGUGAAAGCCUUCGGCUUAACCGGAGAAGUGCAUCGGAAACUGGAUAACUUGAGUGCAGAAGAGGGUAGUGGAACUCCAUGUGUAGCGGUGGAAUGCGUAGAUAUAUGGAAGAACACCAGUGGCGAAGGCGGCUACCUGGUCUGCAACUGACGCUGAGACUCGAAAGCAUGGGUAGCGAACAGGAUUAGAUACCCUGGUAGUCCAUGCCGUAAACGAUGAGUGCUAUGUGUUGGAGGGUUUCCGCCCUUCAGUGCCGGAGCUAACGCAUUAAGCACUCCGCCUGGGGAGUACGACCGCAAGUUGAAACUCAAAGGAUUUGACAGGGGGCCCGCACAAGCGGUGGAGCAUGUGGUUUAAUUCGAAGCUACGCGAAGAACCCUUACCAGUCUUGACAUCUUGCGCCAACCCUAGAGAUAGGCGUUUCCUU